rnacentral:rRNA from 1 species
GACGAACGCUGGCGGCGCGCUUAACACAUGCAAGUCGAGCGAUGAAAUCUUAACAGAACCCUUCGGGGUGAAGAUAAGACGGAUUAGCGGCGGACGGGUGAGUAACACGUGAGUAACCUGCCUUUUACACAGGGAUAGCCUCAGGAAACCGGGAUUAAAACCUGAUGAAACUAUCAAAUCACAUGAUUAAGAAAGUUAAAACUCCGGUGGUAAAAGAUGGACUCGCGUCCCAUUAGCUAGUGGGUGAAGGUAACGGCCCACCAAGGCAACGAUGGGUAGCCGGCCUGCGAGGGUGAACGGCCACAUUGGAACUGAGAAACGGUCCAAACUCCUACGGGAGGCAGCAGUGGGGAAUAUUGCACAAUGGGGGAAACCCUGAUGCAGCGACGCCGCGUGAGCGAAGAAGGCCUUCGGGUCGUAAAGCUCUUUUAUAUGGGAAGAUAAUGACGGUACCAUAAGAAAAAGCCCCGGCUAACUACGUG